rnacentral:rRNA from 1 species
GACGGGUGAGUAAUGUCUGGGAAACUGCCUGAUGGAGGGGGAUAACUACUGGAAACGGUAGCUAAUACCGCAUAACGUCUUCGGACCAAAGUGGGGGACCAAGUGGCCUCAUGCCAUCAGAUGUGCCCAGAUGGCCUUAGCUAGUAGGUGGGGUAAAGGCUCACCUAGGCGACGAUCCCUAGCUGGUCUGCCUGGAUGACCAGCCACACUGGAACUGAGACACGGUCCAGACUCCUACGGGAGGCAGCAGUGGGGAAUAUUGCACAAUGGGCGCAAGCCUGAUGCAGCCAUGCCGCGUGUAUGAAGAAGGCCUUCGGGUUGUAAAGUACUUUCAGCGAGGAGGAAGGUGUUGUGGUUAAUAACCNCAGCAAUUGACGUUACUCGCAGAAGAAGCACCGGCUAACUCCGUGCCAGCAGCCGCGGUAAUACGGAGGGUGCAAGCGUUAAUCGGAAUUACUGGGCGUAAAGCGCACGCAGGCGGUUUGUUAAGUCAGAUGUGAAAUCCCCGGGCUCAACCUGGGAACUGCAUUUGAAACUGGCAAGCUUGAGUCUCGUAGAGGGGGGUAGAAUUCCAGGUGUAGCGGUGAAAUGCGUAGAGAUCUGGAGGAAUACCGGUGGCGAAGGCGGC